rnacentral:rRNA from 1 species
GACGAACGCUGGCGGCGUGCUUAACACAUGCAAGUCGAACGGAAAGGCCCUGCUUUUGUGGGGUGCUCGAGUGGCGAACGGGUGAGUAACACGUGAGUAACCUGUCCUUGUCUUUGGGAUAACUUCAGGAAACUGGGGCUAAUACCGGAUAGGAGCUCCUGCUGCAUGGUGGGGGUUGGAAAGUGUCGGCGGUUGGGGAUGGACUGGCGGCUUAUCAGCUUGUUGGUGUGGUAGUGGCUUACCAAGGCUUUGACGGGUAGCCGGCCUGAGAGGGUGACCGGCCACAUUGGGACUGAGAUACGGCCCAGUCUGCUACGGGAGGCAGCAGUGGAGAAUAUUGCACAAUGAGCGGAAGCCUGAUGCAGCAACGCCGCGUGCGGGAUGACGGCCUUCGGGUUGUGAACCGCUUUCGCAUGUGACGAAGCGUGAGUGACGGUAAUGGGUAAAGAAGCACCGGCUAACUACGUG